rnacentral:lncRNA from 1 species
AUUUCCCUGUCGUUUCAUCAAAGUCAUCUAGCUUCCACAGGGUUGUCUGAACACAGAUUGAGGCUGCAGAGAAAUACUUUAUUACAAUUGGUGGAAAUGAAGGAAAUCCUGGUAGGGAAACUAUAAGCAACUGGUUCAAGAUUGAGAAAUUUGAACGUGAUUAUAAGCUGGUAUAGCUGCAGAGAACUUGAUGUUUAAAUCAGUGGACUCGCGAAUCACGCCCUUUUUUGGGUUCACAGGUGUAAAGGUCAAAGGAAGGCCAUUUUUGAUCUCUUGUUGUUUUUCUUUGGAUUAACGGGUGUAAAGGUCAAAGGAAAGCCAUUAUUGAUCUCUUUUUGUUCUUGAACAACAGCAUCAAGUGGACAAGAUUCAUUGCCAGUACUGUCUAAGGUGAGACCACCACCUCGUCCACGGACCACUGGCAAGAUGUAGUAAUCGAUGCCUGUC